CCUACGGGUGGCACCAGUGGGGAAUAUUGGACAAUGGGCGCAAGCCUGAUCCAGCCAUGCCGCGUGAGUGAAGAAGGCCUUAGGGUUGUAAAGCUCUUUCACCGGUGAAGAUAAUGACGGUAACCGGAGAAGAAGCCCCGGCUAACUUCGUGCCAACAGCCGCGGUAAUACGAAGGGGGCUAGCGUUGUUCGGAAUUACUGGGCGUAAAGCGCGCGUAGGCGGAUGGAUAAGUCAGAGGUGAAAUCCCGGGGCUCAACCCCGGAAUUGCCUUUGAUACUGUUUAUCUUGAGUGCAGAAGAGGUAAGUGGAAUUCCGAGUGUAGAGGUGAAAUUCGUAGAUAUUCGGAGGAACACCAGUGGCGAAGGCGGCUUACUGGUCUGCAACUGACGCUGAGGCGCGAAAGCGUGGGGAGCAGACAGGAUUAGAUACCCGAGU
rnacentral:rRNA from 1 species